UACGUAGGGUGCGAGCGUUAAUCGGAAUUACUGGGCGUAAAGCGUGCGCAGGCGGUUCGUUAAGUUCGUUGUGAAAGCCCCGGGCUCAACCUGGGAACUGCAAUGGAAACUGGCGGGCUAGAGUGCGGCAGAGGGGGAUGGAAUUCCGCGUGUAGCAGUGAAAUGCGUAGAUAUGCGGAGGAACACCGAUGGCGAAGGCAAUCCCCUGGGCCUGCACUGACGCUCAUGCACGAAAGCGUGGGGAGCAGACAGG
rnacentral:rRNA from 1 species